rfam:Oreochromis niloticus linkage group LG12, whole genome shotgun sequence.
CUAGCUGCUGAUUGUCCAAACGCAAUUCUUGUGAAAUUUCAAAUCCAACCCGAGAAUUGUGCCUGGACAUCUGUUGCUGG